AGUGAACGCUGGCGGUAGGCCUAACACAUGCAAGUCGAACGGCAGCACAGUAAGAGCUUGCUCUUACGGGUGGCGAGUGGCGGACGGGUGAGGAAUACAUCGGAAUCUACUUUUUCGUGGGGGAUAACGUAGGGAAACUUACGCUAAUACCGCAUACGUCCUACGGGUGAAAGCAGGGGAUCUUCGGACCUUGCGCGAUUGAAUGAGCCGAUGUCGGAUUAGCUAGUUGGCGGGGUAAAGGCCCACCAAGGCGAUGAUCCGUAGCUGGUCUGAGAGGAUGAUCAGCCACACUGGAACUGAGACACGGUCCAGACUCCUACGGGAGGCAGCAGUGGGGAAUAUUGGACAAUGGGCGCAAGACUGAUCCAGCCAUACCGCGUGGGUGAAGAAGGCCUUCGGGUUGUAAAGCCCUUUUGUUGGGAAAGAAAAGCAGCAGGUUAAUACCCCGCUGUUCUGACGGUACCCAAAGAAUAAGCACCGGCUAACUUCGUG
rnacentral:rRNA from 1 species